rnacentral:tRNA from 1 species
AGCUUCGAGGUGUUAGCACAUCAUAUUGCAAAUCUGAAGGGGCAGGUUAACAUCUGCCGGGGCUU